rnacentral:rRNA from 1 species
UACGGGGGGGGCAAGCGUUGUUCGGAAUUACUGGGCGUAAAGGGCUCGUAGGCGGCCAACUAAGUCAAACGUGAAAUCCCUCGGCUUAACCGGGGAACUGCGCUUGAUACUGGAUGGCUUGAGAUUGGGAGAGGGAUGCGGAAUUCCAGGUGUAGCGGUGAAAUGCGUAGAUAUCAGGAGGAACACCGGUGGCGAAGGCGGAUCUCUGGGCCUUACCUGACGCUCAGGUGCGAAAGCUAGGGGAGCGAACAGG